rnacentral:rRNA from 1 species
AGAGUUUGAUCAUGGCUCAGAUUGAACGCUGGCGGCAGGCCUAACACAUGCAAGUCGAGCGGCAGCGGAAAGUAGCUUGCUACUUUGCCGGCGAGCGGCGGACGGGUGAGUAAUGUCUGGGAAACUGCCUGAUGGAGGGGGAUAACUACUGGAAACAGGUGCUAAUACCGCAUAACAGUUUAUGCCGCAUGGCAUAAGAGUGAAAGGCGCUUUCGGGUGUCGCUGAUGGAUGGACCCGCGGUGCAUUAGCUAGUUGGUGAGGUAACGGCUCACCAAGGCCACGAUGCAUAGCCGACCUGAGAGGGUGAUCGGCCACACUGGGACUGAGACACGGUCCAGACUCCUACGGGAGGCAGCAGUGGGGAAUAUUGCACAAUGGGCGCAAGCCUGAUGCGGCCAUGCCGCGUGUAUGAAGAAGGCCUUCGGGUUGUAAAGUACUUUCAGCGGGGAGGAAGGCGAUAAGGUUAAUAACCUUGUCGAUUGACGCUACCCGCAGAAGAAGCACCGGCUAACUCCGUGCCAGCAGCCGCGGUAAUAC